UUGUCUUUUAAUUGAAGACUAGAACAAAAGAUUGAACAAUUUAAUUAAUAUAUAAAUAUUCAAAUUUAUUUUAUAAGUUAAAAAACUUUUAUAUAUAAGGAAGACGACAAGACCCUAUUAAACUUAACUUAAGUUCAACUGGGGCAGUUAAUCAAUUAUCAUUUUAAUAAAAAUAUAAAAAUUAAUGAUCCAAUAAAAUUGAUUAUAUGAUCAAGUUACUAUAGGGAUAACAGCGUAAUAUUAAUCUAAAGAUCUUAUUUAAAUAAAAGUUUGCGACCUCGAUGUUGAAUUAAUAACCUAAUUAUUGUAACAAAUAAAUAAAGGAAGCCGUUCGACUAUUGAAAAAUUACA
rnacentral:rRNA from 1 species